rnacentral:rRNA from 1 species
AACUCUACAAUGCAGGCAACUGCGAUAGGGGAACAUCGAGUGGCUCCCAUAUUGGGGGUCUGUCCACCCGCCUAAAAAGCGGGUGUUAGCAAGGGCCGGGCAAGACCGGUGCCAGCCGCCGCGGUAAUACCGGCGGCUCGAGUGGUGGCCGAUAUUAUUGAGUCUAGAGGGUCCGUAGCCGGCUUUGCAAGUCUCUCGGGAAAUCCAGCGGCUUAACCGUUGGGCGUCUGGGGGCUACUACAUUGCUUGGGACUGGGAGAGGCGAGAGGUACUCAGGGGGUAGGAGUGAAAUCCUGUAAUCCUUUGGGGACCACCGGUGGCGAAGGCGUCUCGCCAGAACAGGUCCGACGGUGAGGGACGAAAGCUAGGGGCACGAACCGGAUUAGAUACCCGGGUAGUCCUAGCCGUAAACGAUGCUCGCUAGGUGUCACAACAGUCGUGAACUGUUGUGGUGCCGUAGGGAAGCCGUGAAGCGAGCCACUUGGGAAGUACGACCGCAAGGUUGAAACUUAA